GACGGGGGCCCGCACAAGCGGUGGAGCAUGUGGUUUAAUUCGAUGCAACGCGAAGAACCUUACCUGGCCUUGACAUACUAGAAGCUUUCCAGAGAUGGAUUGGUGCCUUCGGGAAUCUAGAUACAGGUGCUGCAUGGCUGUCGUCAGCUCGUGUCGUGAGAUGUUGGGUUAAGUCCCGCAACGAGCGCAACCCUUUUCCUUACUUGCCAGCAUUUCGGAUGGGAACUUUAAGGAUACUGCCAGUGACAAACUGGAGGAAGGCGGGGACGACGUCAAGUCAUCAUGGCCCUUACGGCCAGGGCUACACACGUGCUACAAUGGUCGGUACAAAGGGUUGCUACACAGCGAUGUGAUGCUAAUCUCAAAAAGCCGAUCGUAGUCCGGAUUGGAGUCUGCAACUCGACUCCAUGAAGUCGGAGUCGCUAGUAAUCGCGGAUCAGAAUGCCGCGGUGAAUACGUUCCCGGGCCUUGUACACACCGCCCGUCACACCAUGGGAGUUUGUUGCACCAGAAGUAGGUAGUCUAACCGCAAGGAGGACGCUUACCACGGUGUGGCCGAUGACUGGGGUGAAGUCGUAACAAGGUAAC
rnacentral:rRNA from 1 species